rnacentral:rRNA from 1 species
UACAGAGGGUGCUAGCGUUGUUCGGAAUUAUUGGGCGUAAAGCGUGCGUAGACGGCUAUCUAAGUCGGGUGUGAAAGCCCCGGGCUCAACCUGGGAAUUGCAUUCGAGACUGAAUAGCUAGGGUACGGUAGAGGGAAGUGGAAUUUCCGGUGUAGCGGUGAAAUGCGUAGAUAUCGGAAGGAACAUCAGUGGCGAAAGCGACUUCCUGGACCAGUACCGACGUUCAGGCACGAAAGCGUGGGGAGCAAACAGG